rnacentral:rRNA from 1 species
AUUGAACGCUGGCGGCAUGCCUUACACAUGCAAGUCGAACGGUAACGGGCCUUCGGGUGCCGACGAGUGGCGAACGGGUGAGUAACACGUUGGUACCUACCCCUUAGUGGGGAAUAACUUCGAGAAAUCGAGGCUAAUACCGCAUAAUAUCUACGGAUUAAAGCAUUUAUUCGCUAAGGGAGGGGCCUGCGUCUGAUUAGCUAGUUGGUGAGGUAAAAGCUCACCAAGGCGACGAUCAGUAGCUGGAUCGAGAGGUUGACCAGCCACACUGGGACUGAGAUACGGCCCAGACUCCUACGGGAGGCAGCAGUGAGGAAUCUUCCACAAUGGGCGAAAGCCUGAUGGAGCAAUGCCGCGUGCAGGAUGACGGCCUUCGGGUUGUAAACUGCUUUUAUAUGGGAAGAUUAUGACGGUACCAUAUGAAUAAGGACCGGCUAACUACGUGCCAGCCGCCGCCGUAAAAC